GGGGAAUAUUGCGCAAUGGGGGCAACCCUGACGCAGCCAUGCCGCGUGAAUGAAGAAGGCCUUCGGGUUGUAAAGUUCUUUCGGUAGCGAGGAAGGCAUUUAGUUUAAUAGACUAGGUGAUUGACGUUAACUACAGAAGAAGCACCGGCUAACUCCGUGCCAGCAGCCGCGGUAAUACGGAGGGUGCGAGCGUUAAUCGGAAUAACUGGGCGUAAAGGGCACGCAGGCGGUGACUUAAGUGAGGUGUGAAAGCCCCGGGCUUAACCUGGGAAUUGCAUUUCAUACUGGGUCGCUAGAGUACUUUAGGGAGGGGUAGAAUUCCACGUGUAGCGGUGAAAUGCGUAGAGAUGUGGAGGAAUACCGAAGGCGAAGGCAGCCCCUUGGGAAUGUACUGACGCUCAUGUGCGAAAGCGUGGGGAGCAAACAGGAUUAGAUACCCUGGUAGUCCACGCUGUAAACGAUGUCGAUUUGGGGGUUGAGCUUUAAGUUUGGCGCCCGUAGCUAACGUGAUAAAUCGACCGCCUGGGGAGUACGGCCGCAAGGUUA
rnacentral:rRNA from 1 species